ACCUCCGUGGCGCAACGGGUUAUGCGUCAGGAGGUCUCAGAUAUGGGUCGCAGGUUCGAUUCCUGCCGGAGGCC